CCGCACGUGACUCAUUCCCAGGGUGAUGGUAGUGUGAAAGACAGUUGUGCAUAACCUGAAUGUCAACGUCAUGUAUUACCACUAGGUGAUGACUGUGUUCUCGGGAUGUGUGAGGCUGGAGAAGGGGUCAGCACCUGGGCUUGAAGAUUCGCUACAUUUCUCAGACGCAGGGUUUGCCUGGGGAGCAUCUGUUGAAUGUGGGGACGAAGACGGCACGGUUCUUCUGCAGGGAGUCUGACUCCCCCUACUCAGCAUGGCGAUUGAAAUCGACUGAUGAGCAUGAGACCGAGACGGGGAUGAAAUCGAAGGAAGCAAGGAAGUACAUCUUCAACUGUUUGGAUGACAUGGCGCACGUAAGUCUUGUUCCACAGGAUGUGGACACCUUCAGCUGGUCUAACUAGACCGUGUUGAUGAGUCUCUACUCAGGAAGCUCAUGGUUAGAUGAUGUAGGUCUGAGAGAGAGGAAGUUCACCUUCAGCUGUUCUAACUAGACCGUGUUGAUGAGUCUCUACUCAGGAAGCUUAUGGUUAGAUGAUGUAGGUCUGAGAGAGAGAAAGUUCACCUUCAGCUGUUCUAAUUAGACCGUG